CCUACGGGUGGCAGCAGUGGGGGAUAUUGCACAAUGGGGGAAACCCUGAUGCAGCGACACCGCGUGAGUGAUGAAGUAUUUCGGUAUGUAAAGCUCUAUCAGCAGGGAAGAGAAUGACGGUACCUGACUAAGAAGCCCCGGCUAACUACGUGCCAGAAGCCGCGGUAAUACGUAGGGGGCCAGCGUUAUCCGGAUUUACUGGGUGUAAAGGGAGCGUAGACGGCUGGUCAAGCCAGAAGUGAAAGCCCGGGGCUCAACCCCGGAACUGCUUUGGAAACUGUGCGGCUAGAGUGCUGGAGAGGUAGGCGGAAGUCCUAGUGUAGCGGUGAAAUGCGUAGAUAUUAGGAGGAACACCAGUGGCGAAGGCGGCUUACUGGAC
rnacentral:rRNA from 1 species